rnacentral:rRNA from 1 species
UGGGAAUAUUGGACAAUGGAGGAAACUCUGAUGCAGCAACGCCGCGUGAGGGAAGAAGGUCUUCGGAUUGUAAACCUUUGUCCUUGGUGACGAAACAAAUGACGGUAGCCAAGGAGGAAGCUCCGGCUAACUACGUGCCAGCAGCCGCGGUAAUACGUAGGGAGCAAGCGUUGUCCGGAUUUACUGGGUGUAAAGGGUGCGUAGGCGGCUCUGCAAGUCAGGCGUGAAAACUAUGGGCUUAACCCAUAGACUGCGUUUGAAACUGUGGGGCUUGAGUGAAGUAGAGGUAGGCGGAAUUCCCGGUGUAGCGGUGAAAUGCGUAGAGAUCGGGAGGAACACCAGUGGCGAAGGCGGCCUGCUGGGCUUUAACUGACGCUGAAGCACGAAAGCAUGGGUAGCAAAA